rnacentral:lncRNA from 1 species
GAAGAACCAAAGGGAGUGACAGAUUUAGGGAAGGUAAUCAGACAGGAAGAACCAAAGGGAGUGACAGAUUUAGGGAAGGUAAUCAGACAGGAAGAACCAAAGGGAGUGACAGAUUUAGGGAAGGUAAUCAGGUAGGAAGAACCAAAGGGAGUGACAGAUUUAGGGAAGGUAAUCAGGUAGGAAGAACCAAAGGGAGUGACAGAUUUAGGGAAGGUAAUCAGACAGGAAGAACCAAAGGGAGUGACAGAUUUAGGGAAGGUAAUCAGGUAGGAAGAACCAAAGGGAGUGACAGAUUUAGGGAAGGUAAUCAGGUAGGAAGAACCAAAGGGAGUGACAGAUUUAGGGAAGGUAAUCAGGUAGGAAGAACCAAAGGGAGUGACAGAUUUAGGGAAGGUAAUCAGGUAGGAAGAACCAAAGGGAGUGACAGAUUUAGGGAAGGUAAUCAGACAGGAAGAACCAAAGGGAGUGACAGAUUUAGGGAAGGUAAUCAGACAGGAAGAACCAAAGGGAGUGACAGAUUUAGGGAAGGUAAUCAGACAGGAAGAACCAAAGGGAGUGACAGAUUUAGGGAAGGUAAUCAGACAGGAAGAACCAAAGGGAGUGACAGAUUUAGGGAAGGUAAUCAGACAGGAAGAACCAAAGGGAGUGACAGAUUUAGGGAAGGUAAUCAGGCAGGUUAUGGAGUCCAGGUGAGGCUGAUGAGGCGCUGGUGUGCUAACGAUAGUGACAGGUAAGCGUCAUAAUGAGCGGCCUGGUGACCUGGCGCGCCGGAGAGGGAUUAUGGG